rnacentral:rRNA from 1 species
CCUACGGGAGGCAGCAGUGGGGAAUUUUGGACAAUGGGCGCAAGCCUGAUCCAGCAAUGCCGCGUGAGUGAAGAAGGCCUUCGGGUUGUAAAGCUCUUUUGUCAGGGAAGAAACGGUCUACUCUAAUACAGUGGGCUAAUGACGGUACCUGAAGAAUAAGCACCGGCUAACUACGUGCCAGCAGCCGCGGUAAUACGUAGGGUGCAAGCGUUAAUCGGAAUUACUGGGCGUAAAGCGUGCGCAGGCGGUUAUAUAAGUCAGAUGUGAAAUCCCCGGGCUCAACCUGGGAACUGCAUUUGAGACUGUAUGGCUAGAGUGUGUCAGAGGGGGGUAGAAUUCCACGUGUAGCAGUGAAAUGCGUAGAUAUGUGGAGGAAUACCGAUGGCGAAGGCAGCCCCCUGGGAUAACACUGACGCUCAUGCACGAAAGCGUGGGGAGCAAACAGGAUUAGAUACCCUGGUAGUCCACGCCCUAAACGAUGUCUACUAGUUGUCGGGACUUAAUUGUCUUGGUAACGCAGCUAACGCGUGAAGUAGACCGCCUGGGGGAGGUACGGUCGCGAGAAGUUAAACGUAACGUAAAGUAAGUUAGUACGGACGUGAGACGUACGACCGACGGACGACGACGAGGGAGGAGG